rnacentral:rRNA from 1 species
GACGAACGCUGGCGGCGUGCUUAACACAUGCAAGUCGAACGGAAAGGCCCUGCUUUUGUGGGGUGCUCGAGUGGCGAACGGGUGAGUAACACGUGAGUAACCUGCCCUUGACUUUGGGAUAACUUCAGGAAACUGGGGCUAAUACCGGAUAGGAGCUUCUGCUGCAUGGUGGGGGUUGGAAAGUUUCGGCGGUUGGGGAUGGACUCGCGGCUUAUCAGCUUGUUGGUGGGGUAGUGGCUUACCAAGGCUUUGACGGGUAGCCGGCCUGAGAGGGUGACCGGCCACAAUGGGACUAAGAGACGGCCCAGAAUGCUACGGGAGGCAGAAGUGGGGAAUAUUGCACAAUGGGCGGAAGCCUGAUGCAGAAACGCCGCGUGCGGGAUGACGGCCUUCGGGUUGUAAACCAAUUUCGCCUGUGACGAAGAGCGAGUGACGGUAAUGGGUAAAGAAGCACCGGCUAACUACGUG